rnacentral:tRNA from 1 species
CGGGGUGUAGCGCAGUUGGUAGCGCGCGACAUUUGGGAUGUUGAGGCCGCUGGUUCGAAUCCAGUCACUCCGACCA